rnacentral:tRNA from 1 species
AGUCUUAUAUUCAAUGGAAUGAUAACAGAAUGCAAUUCUGUAGGAGUAAAUAAAAUUUAUUUGCUAAGACUU